AUUUUCAGCACCAAGGACAGCGGCUGACGGAAAAAUAUUCGCUGUAGCCUACUACAACAGCGCAUUAUCAUAACAGUGUUGAGAUUUGUUGUUUGCGAAUAGUCUGUCUCAUAUGACCAAUCGUGUUUCAGAGGGGCGGGGAACGCCACGCAGUCUCUCUGUAGCUAAGGUGGCUGAUUCUCCAGGAGGGAGUGGGAUGUGGAGAGAUGUGUUUAUAGCUCUGAAUUUCAGUUCUCAGUCAAGCAUCACGUGUAAUUGAAGAGAUUCCUUACGGAUUUUCUUGCGGUAGCCUACCUAUAAAGAGAAUUACCAAGUAGAAGAGAGACGCGCAUUCCGACCCUCAUCACUUUUGUCGUCUCACCUGCACAAGCGGUGAACAGGAGAGGUACCUUAUCAUGGAUCAGGAGAAAUGCUUACCGGAGCUGAUGGCCGAGAAAGAUACGCUGGACUCCUCAUUUGUUCAUGCAAUGCGUCUGCUUGCCGAAGAAAUUGAAAAGUAUGAGGGGGAUGAGUUGAGAAAAGACGGUGACGUCAAGAAAUACCUUGAUGUCAUCAGUAACAAAAACAUCAAGCUCUCGGAAAGAGUACUCAUCCCAGUUCAACAGUACCCAAAGUUUAAUUUUGUUGGGAAGCUGUUGGGUCCACGGGGCAAUUCCAUGAAAAGAUUACAAGAAGAAACAGGAGCAAAGAUGUCCAUCCUCGGAAAAGGCUCCAUGAGGGACAAAGGAAAGGAAGAAGAGUUGAGGAAAAGUGGAGAGGCCAAGUAUGCCCAUUUGAGUAACGAUCUCCACGUUUUAAUUGAAGCCUUCGCUCCACCUGGAGAGGCCUAUUCCCGCAUGAGCCAUGCCUUGGAGGAGAUUAAGAAAUUCCUAGUUCCAGACUACAAUGAUGAGAUCAGACAGGAGCAGCUGAGGGAGCUCUCCUACUUGAACGGAGGAUCAGAAGACACCAGCAGAGGGAGGACUGUACGUGGGCGGGGCUUACGACUGGCUUCCACCACAAACACACGGGCACGGGGAGGAGCGGCCCCACCACCUCCACCAGUCAGGGGGGCAGCUGUACCCAGGGGAACAGUGGGUAAGCGGAGUGUCCUGCCACAAGCCACAUUAACGAGAGGAGUACCCGCUCCCAGGGCCAGGGGAACACCAGGGAACCCCGGAUACAGACCCCCACUGUUACCCAUCACACACGAAUCAUACGACGACUACGGCUAUGAUGAUGGAUAUGACGGUGAAUAUGAUGACCAGAGUUAUGAUGCCUAUGAGGAGAACUACAGCAAUCAGUCAAAGAGCAUUUCUGAAUAUUACGAAUAUGGCCAUGGAACCAAUGACGAAGCCUACAACAAUUACGAAGAGGAGUGGACUACAACCCGUCCGACACUCAAAGCCCCAACAGCAAGGCUCUCACGAGGGGGCUACAGAGAACAUCCCUAUGGUAGAUAUUGAAGGUGUAACAUAUUGUGUGAACUGUUCAAUAAGGGGAGUGUGAGAGUAUGGAACACACAGUAAACUCUUCCCUGGGGACCGCAGAGUGCCUCCGCCUAUCUGAAGUGCUGGGCACAACCAGAAAUUAGCCUUGUGCAAAUGAGCAUGAGUCAACCUGGGGAUUUGGGAAGGAAUCAAAGACACUUGCAAGUCUUUCAGUCCAAGACUAACCAUUGACAGUAAGAUAAGUAAACCCAUGUUAUAUUCUGCAUGAUUAUGUUAAAAUGCUGUACAGUAUAUACCAUAGUAACACUGCAGUUAACCCUUAUUGUACUCAAAUGCGCAUAUGAAUGUUCUCCACCAUUUUGGCAUGAAGAGAGAGAUUAUUUGGAGCAGAUGUAGGGGGUAUUACCAGGGAAAGAUUCACUCACACAAGUUAAUAAGCAACACCAGUUGAGUUUUCAGCUGAGUGCAUUACCCAGGCCAUGCAUGAAAUGGUUUCAUUUUCCAUCACUGUUUGUUUUCCCUGAUCAUUUCCAUGAUAGAGAAAGAAAACGGAAUUACUGUUGUUGAACCUAUUGAGGUGUACAGCUCCCCAGUCCUGCCAGUUCACAAAUGAGCUUGGCAUCUGGGUCGAUUGCAUGGCAAGGAUGGUGUCUGCAUAGGCUCAGCACGCAAGGAAGUGUCUCCUGCCAACCACUGCCAGUGACUGACUGUGUCACGCCUGCUCCCGCUCCCCUUUUCUGGCGCUCGAGGGCCAUCAUUACACACACCUGUCACCUCUGUUAUGCACAUCAGCGCUUCAUUGGACUCACCUGGACUCCAUCACUUAUUGAUUGCAUCCCCUAUAUCUGUCUAUUCCUCAGUUUCAUCCCCGUGUCAGCAUUAAUGUAGUUUUUGUUCCCCCUGUCCCCCUUGUUGUGUUUCAUGUUGGUUAUUUAUUGAAUAUUCACUACCUGUAUUUGCUUCUCGUCUCCCAGCGUCUGUCCUCACAGAAUGCUGACACCACAACAUCAGGGAGAUUUUUGUUGGUGACGUCGAGUGCCACUCCCGAAGGAACCGGGGGUGCCUCAGCUGGCUUGUCAGGCUUCCAUGCCUUAGCUGGCUCGAGAGGUUUUCUUGCCUCGGUUGGCUCGACAGGCUCCCAUCCCACGUCAUUCCUCAGCCGGCUCGUCGAGCUCCCACGCCUCAGCCGGCUGGUUGGGCUCCCACGCCUCAGCCGGCUGGUUGGGCUUCCACGCAUCAGCCGGCUGGUUGGGCUCACACGCCUCAGCCGGCUGGUUGGGCUCCCAUGCCUCGGCUGGCCCAGCAGGCUCGCCCAGGUGGGACGCCUGGUGGCGCCCCUAGAGGGGGGGUACUGUCACGCCUGCUCCCGCUCCCCCUCUCUGGCGCUCGAUGGCGCCAGGCGGCCCAUCAUUACCCACACCUGUCAUCAUUGUUACACACAUCAGCGCUUCAUUGGACUCACUUGGACUCCAUCACUUAUUGAUUGCCUCCCCUAUAUCUAUCUAUUCCUCAGUUUCAUCCCCGUGUCAGCACUAAUGUCGUUUUUGUUUCCCCUGUCCAGACGCUCCUUGUUUUGUUUCAUGUUGGUUAUUUACUAAAUAUUCACUCCCUGUACUCGCUUCUCGUCUCCCAGCGUCUGUCCUCACAGACUGGCUGACUGGCAUGGGGAGGCGAGGGGGAGAAGCUAACGGGUGUCUAGACCAGACAGCAGUCAGUGAGCCUUUGCUCAUCACCACAACAGUCUUAUUUAUUCAGGAACAUCCACAAACUUACAGCACUCAGUAGUUGCAGUUUCAAAUUGAUUGCAGUUUCAAAUUCAAAUUGCAGAGAAAAGCCACAAAGCCAUGUUUUCUAACUUACCCAAAGACUACAAUAACACCAUCAAGAAGAUUGUCAAGCUGUGUCUCUUGCCUGUUUUUCAGAUGUGCAAAUGGUUCUGUGGAUGUGUAGCAUGUUCCCUGUCCAUGUCAACAAGUCAACUUGGCCAGGUGAAUGCCUACACUUUAUCAUGCAUGUAUUUUAUCAUUGUGAUUAAGUUAGCCAUGUCAUACUAGUUUGUUGUGUUUCCAUACAACCUUCAUUUCCACUGAAUUGCAUGCUUAUACUGUAGUUUUGAUUGGAUUUGACUUUGAUACAAGACAUCAGCUUUUGUUAUUGCUGAAAAGUUGAGCAGAACUUAUACUCUUCCCUUGAAGCAACAUAAGAGGUUUCCCCAGUUCACCAGGGUUUUUUCCCCAGUUCACCAGGGUUUUUUCCCCAGUUCACCGGGGUUUUUCCAGUUCACCGGGGGUUUUCCAGUUCACCAAGGUUUCACUCGUUCACCAGGGUUGUACUAUAGUAAGUAUACAGUAGUUUCACCAGUAUCACCUCUCCUACCUUUUCCAUCCCAGAGAGCAGAUCAUUGCUAUAGACAUGCUAUGGUACCCAGGGGAAAGCACAGCCACACUUCCCCACUGCCCCUCACCCACAGCCACACUUCCCCACUGCCCCUCACCCACAGCCACACUUCCCCACUGCCCCUCACCCACAGGCGCACUGCACCCUUGAUGUCAAACCCACAUUAACAGAGAGUAGCCAGGGGUUGUAGAGAGAUAUGGUCAAAGGGAAUACUGUAGGGACUGGAGGGAGGCAUACCAGCCAUGAUGCUCAACAGAUAACUUUAAGGCUCAUGUUGAUGCACAACAAGGACAAGAGUGUCAUCUGCCAAAAAGAAGUGAGGAGGCUUUAUUUGUAUGUGCUAAUUAUAUAUGUCACUUAUUUUCUCUGUUUCUAAAGCAUGCUGUCUAUAAAUUCAUUUUCUACACAAAAGCCCCCAAAAAUGUAUUACGGGCAUGCAGAACUAAUAGAUGUUUACUCAACUGUAGCUCGACCUGAGAUAUUUCUUUCGUUCUCUUUCCCCUCACCACAGGCAGUGAAAUAUACGUGCUGUUUCUGUAUUGUAUUUCCUCUGCUGCCAUUCUACUGUGUUGAACGAAGGGACAAACAGGACAAAUCAAUUCUACAUUUGCUUUCACUUAAAUGCUGACAUUGUAUGUAAUGAGGUUCGUAUGUGAUGAGGUUCGUGUGUAAUGAAGUUCGUAGGUAAACUUAAACUGUGCAGUUAAAAGUGUGCUGUGCCAUUGUUCGAUUUCAAAGCAGAUAUCAACACAAUAGGUCAACAUGUAUAAUUCAGCAAAUGUUAGUGUAUUUACAUUAAAAUCACUUUUUAUCAUACAGAA